AGAUUGAACGCUGGCGGCAGGCCUAACACAUGCAAGUCGAGCGGCAGCACGGGUACUUGUACCUGGUGGCGAGCGGCGGACGGGUGAGUAAUGCCUAGGAAUCUGCCUGAUAGUGGGGGAUAACGUUCGGAAACGGACGCUAAUACCGCAUACGUCCUACGGGAGAAAGUGGGGGAUCUUCGGACCUCACGCUAUCAGAUGAGCCUAGGUCGAUUAGCUAGUUGGUAGGUAAA
rnacentral:rRNA from 1 species